rnacentral:rRNA from 1 species
AUACGUAGGGUGGCAAGCGUUGUCCGGAUUUACUGGGUGUAAAGGGCGAGUAGGCGGGACUGCAAGUCAGGUGUGAAAUGCGGAGGCUCAACCUCCGACUUGCAUUUGAAACUGUGGUUCUUGAGUGAUGGAGAGGCAGGUGGAAUUCCCGGUGUAGCGGUGGAAUGCGUAGAUAUCGGGAGGAACACCAGUGGCGAAGGCGGCCUGCUGGACAUUAACUGACGCUGAGGAGCGAAAGCGUGGGGAGC